rnacentral:pre_miRNA from 1 species
AUAGUACUAUUUCCGUCUGAAAAAGUUUGUCCCUCAAAUGGAUGUAUCUAGCACCAAAUUAGUGUUAGAUAUAUUCAUUUAAGAGACAUGUUUGGGACAAUUUUUUUUUCAGACGGAGGAAGUAGCAU